GGGCAUUGUCUUGUAAUUGGAAUGAUGGUGACCUAAACCCUCACCAGAGUAACAAUUGGAGGGCAAGUCUGGUGCCAGCAGCCGCGGUAAUUCCAGCUCCAAUAGCGUAUAUUAAACUUGUUGCAGUUAAAAAGCUCGUAGUUGAAUUUUUGCGUGGUGUUAAUAUUGACUAAUGUCGAGAUUGCACUUCGCUUUUGGGAUUUAUCCCUUUUUACUUUGAGAAAAUUAGAGUGUUUCAAGCAGACUUUUGUCUUGAAUACUUCAGCAUGGAAUAAUAGAGUAGGACUUUGGUUUAUUUUUUUGUUGGA
rnacentral:rRNA from 1 species